AUGGCGGGGAGGCAUGGCCACAGGCAGCCAGAGCUGAAAACAGAGAGAGAACUGGAAGUGGGGCCAGACUAUGUAAGUCUCAAAACAGACCCCAAGUUACGUGCUUCCUCUGGCAAGGUCGUACCUCGUAAAGAUUCCAUGGCUGCUCAAACAGCGCCACCAACUGGGCCCAUAUACCAGGUUAUCCGUACUUUAGAUCCUAAACAGAACCAAGGGGCAGCACCAGAAAUACAAGCUCUUAAAAAUCAACUCCAGGAACGAGAUCGACUCUUCCAUUCAUUAGAAAAAGAAUAUGAGAAAACCAAGAGUCAAAGAGACAUGGAGGAGAAAUACAUCGUUAGUGCCUGGUACAAUAUGGGAAUGACUCUGCAUAAAAAGGCGGCUGAAGAUAGACUAGCUAGCACAGGUUCAGGGCAGUCUUUUCUAGCUAGGCAAAGACAAGCAACCAGCACAAGAAGAUCUUACCCUGGCCAUGUUCAGCCGGCCACAGCAAGCUUAAAAGAAGAAUUAAAUACCGUGAGAAUAGCAGCCAAAUUCUUCUUUCUACUGGAUAAAGCCAGUCACCUAGAAGAAAACAACACUGAAACAGAAAAAACUACAUUCAACUUUGAGGGAAUAGGUAACAUUUUUCCUUUCCAGAGUAAAAGCCAGGAUGGUGGCACACACCUGUAAGCUCAGCACCAGGCUGUGGCAGGAGGAUCACCAGUUUGAAGUCAGAACAUAGCAAGUUCAAAACCAGUCUGUCUCAGAAAACAAGAAUUGCACAUGAGAAGAAAAUAAACAAUAUUUUAAAUAUAUUUAAUUGUUCAAUGGAACAGUUUUCUAUGUGUCUUAACGUCUACUGGCUUCUUGUUAAUCUAGAUAAAAGUAGAUUAUUGAUCAAUUCAGUACUACCUCCAUUGUGUAGCAAUUCUAAUUUCAUGGAGCUCACACCUGGAUUUGUAGUACUUUGAGGCUUAGGUAGGAGGACUGCCACCAGUUCAAGUGAGCAUGGCUUACAUAGUUCCAGGUCAGCCUGGGCUAUGGUGUGAGGCC